rnacentral:rRNA from 1 species
GACGAACGCUGGCGGCGUGCUUAACACAUGCAAGUCGAACGAAGUGGCGAACGGGAGAGUAACGCGUAAUCAACCUGCCCGUCAGAGGGGGACAACAGUGGGAAACGACUGCUAAUACCGCAUACUGAAGGAGGGGAUGGCGUCUGAUUAGAUAGUUGGAGGGGUAACGGCCCACCAAGGCGACGAUCAGUAGCCGGUCUGGGAGGAUGAACGGCCACAUUGGUACUGAGACACGGCCCAGACUCCUACGGGAGGCCGCAGUGGGGAAUCUUCCGAAAUGGACGAAAGUCUGGCGGAGCAACGCCGCGUGAGUGAUGACGGCCUUCGGGUUGUAAAGCUCUGUUAAGCGGGACGCGGUACCGGAAUAGAAAGCAACGGCUAACUACGUGCCAGCAGCCGCGGUAAUAC